rnacentral:rRNA from 1 species
UACAGAGGUCUCAAGCGUUGUUCUGAUUCAUUGGGCGUAAAGGGUGCGUAGGUGGCGCUGUAAGUCGGGUGUGAAAUUUCGGAGCUUAACUCCGAAACUGCAUUCGAUACUGCGGUGCUUGAGGACUGGAGAGGAGACUGGAAUUCAUGGUGUAGCAGUGAAAUGCGUAGAGAUCAUGAGGAAGACCAGUGGCGAAGGCGGGUCUCUGGACAGUUCCUGACACUGAGGCACGAAGGCCAGGGGAGCAAACGGG